AACAUGACAGGAAACCACUCGAAACGUCACUUUUUUUUGUGCUGCAUAUGACUGUGUGCUCCAUCACAAAUUUCACCUCUGAUGAUUAUAGAAAUGACAUUUUUAGGUUCAUUUCUUUAUAUAGUUCUAUAUGACACCUGUAAACAAAUCUCUAUUCUUUCUUUGCACUGACUUUUGAUCAACUGGUGUUUUUUGUGAUUGUUAAUAAAUACAUUAAGACAGUUGUCCUAGCUGUGUAACCACAGGUGUAGUGUAUCUCCUAACCCCAACGUGUACAAAUACUUUGUUAAAUUUGAAAUGAUUAGCUUGAACGUGCUAGUGUUAUUUUAAAUAUAAAUGCUAAUUAUGCAGUGAAAUUUAAUUCAAUAGUUUGACACUAUCAUGUGAAAAGACAAUGCCAUACACUUAAGCAUGUGCAGUUUUAGUAUGCGUGGGUUGUGUAAGUUUCCUGUAAUGAGAUGAUGAGGUUUAGCAGAUCGACACAACAUCAACAUUAACAGGUUUGGUUGAUUUGUAGAGCCAUUGACAUGUAUAUAUGCAAUCAUUUUCAUUAAGACUAGAUUUCUUCUAGAAGUAUGGAAAUAUUUGAGCAUAUUAAACUAAUUAGGAUAUAUCAGAGAAUUUGAUGCAGGUUAAAUUGCAACAGGUCAGAAAUGCAGGAAGAUCUCAUCGAUAGAAUCUCUCAGUAACGCACCUAUUUUGCUGAUCUGACAACGUACACUAUCGCUUUCAUCGCCUUAUUUUCAGAUGACCUCGAAACUUAAGCUCUGCGAACAUCGCGGCUGUCAUCAUAAACGCAAAGUGAAAUGCGACCCUGACAGAAGAUCCAUCGGGUAAACAAAGGCAAUUGAAAACACUGUAGAUUGCCUGAAAUGGGCCUUUGUGCUCAAAGGCUAAAAACAAGGCCAACAGCAGGCCAGAAAGAACACAGAAAAUGCAUUGUUUAAUUUCAAAACGUUAAUAUAUUUUCUAUUUUAUAGUGAACAUAUGCAUCUGACACCCUUGUCACCCUUUUUUUUUUUUUGCAGCAACAACAGAGGAGGAUUUGUUUCUCAAAGUUGGGGUGAUGCCUAUAAUGAUGCCUCUCCAAAUAAAUAUUACUUUAUAAAAUAAUAAAACUUCAAAUAAAUAUUUUUACACUAAACAAUGUGUUGAAAUUAGAAAAUAAAGUUUUUCUUAGGGUCACUGUACAAUUUACAAGUAUAGUUGUAGGGAUAAUUCAUGUAAGGUUCCUCUUCUAUAAGGCAAAAUAUCAAAAGAGUGAUUGACAUACAUUCGAAACGAAUGUACAACACUAUACAAGUUUUGUAUAUGCAUCAUAUAUAUGGAUCUGUCAAGGUGCCUCUGGUUUGGCACAAUGUGUUUCACAGUUGAAAUA